rnacentral:rRNA from 1 species
UACGAAGGGGGCUAGCGUUGCUCGGAAUCACUGGGCGUAAAGCGCACGUAGGCGGAUCUUUAAGUCAGGGGUGAAAUCCCAAGGCUCAACCUUGGAACUGCCUUUGAUACUGGGGAUCUCGAGUCCGGAAGAGGUUGGUGGAACUCCGAGUGUAGAGGUGAAAUUCGUAGAUAUUCGGAAGAACACCAGUGGCGAAGGCGGCCAACUGGUCCGGCACUGACGCUGAGGUGCGAAAGCGUGGGUAGCAAACAGG